AGGUGUGUGGUAAAUUGAUAUUAAAUUUAGAGAGACGUGAAACUGAGACUUUUAAAAGCUCUCUGAAAUUUAGAUUUAAUCUUGGCUUUGUUAUUGGGAAGCUCCCAUUGAAAACUGAUAAGGAAAUUAAUCAUUAUUUUGAAUAAAUAGUAUUAUUGUUAUAGGUUUCACUAACUUGUACGCAACAUGGAGCUAUUACUCACUGUUUUCUUACUAAUUGUAACUCUUUGGAGCUCUUUUGUGGCUGGUGAUUGUGUGACGGAUCCCGUGACAAUGCUGUGCAUUUUGGACCCAAAUCACGGUAAAUAACUUUGUGUGUCACCUUCUCAAUAAAGCACAAAAGUAGAACACGAUGUGGGCUUCUGUAUCCUAAGUAAUUCAACAGUCUCCCCAGACUGAGUUACGUGUGGCAAAUCGCAUUAAACAUUCCACGCCCACCGCCUCCACACUACCAGACAUCUUUUUUGUUACGGUUUCAAUACCCUGUUCUUAGGCAUUUCAAUACUACGAAGCAGUUUGUAACAUAUCGUUUAGAAACAUAACGUUUGAAUGGUUGACUAAAACAGCUUUACUAUCCAUUAAACAUCAUUAAAUGACUUCAGCGAAAACGUUUGCACUACAAA